UACGUAGGGUGCAAGCGUUGUCCGGAAUUAUUGGGCGUAAAGAGCUCGUAGGCGGUUUGUCGCGUCGAAUGUGAAAUCCCGGGGCUCAACCCCGGGUCUGCAUUCGAUACGGGCAGACUAGAGUUCGGUAGGGGAGUCUGGAAUUCCUGGUGUAGCGGUGAAAUGCGCAGAUAUCAGGAGGAACACCGGUGGCGAAGGCGGUUCUCUGGGCAUUACCUGACGCUGAGGAGCGAAAGCAUGGGGAGCGAACAGG
rnacentral:rRNA from 1 species